rnacentral:rRNA from 1 species
AUUGAACGCUGGCGGCAGGCCUAACACAUGCAAGUCGAACGGUAACAGGAAGAAGCUUGCUUCUUUGCUGACGAGUGGCGGACGGGUGAGUAAUGUCUGGGAAACUGCCUGAUGGAGGGGGUUACCUACUGGAAACGGUAGCUAAUACCGCAUAACGUCGCAAGACCAAAGAGGGGGACCUUCGGGCCUCUUGCCAUCGGCUUUGCCCAGAUGGGAUUAGCUAGUAGGUGGGGUAACGGCUCACCUAGGCGACGAUCCCUAGCUGGUCUGAGAGGGUGACGACCCACACGGAAACAGAGACACGCUCCAGACCCCUGGGGGGGGCAGCAGGGGGGAAUAUUGCAAUAGGGGCGCAAGCGAGAGGGAGCCACGCCGCGUGUAUGAAGAAGCCCUGGGGGUUGUAAAGUACUUACAGGGGGGGGGAAGGGGUGAAAGUAAAUACCGUUGCUCAGUGACUAUACCCGCAGAAGAAGCACCGUAAAACUCCG